CCUACGGGAGGCAGCAGUGGGGAAUUUUGGACAAUGGGGGCAACCCUGAUCCAGCAAUGCCGCGUGAGUGAAGAAGGCCUUCGGGUUGUAAAGCUCUUUUGUCAGGGAAGAAACAGCAGCUCUAACACAGCUGUGAAUGACGGUACCUGAAGAAUAAGCACCGGCUAACUACGUGCCAGCAGCCGCGGUAAUACGUAGGGUGCAAGCGUUAAUCGGAAUUACUGGGCGUAAAGCGUGCGCAGGCGGUUAUAUAAGACAGGUGUGAAAUCCCCGGGCUUAACCUGGGAAUUGCAUCUGUGACUGUAUAGCUAGAGUGUGUCAGAGGGGGGUAGAAUUCCACGUGUAGCAGUGAAAUGCGUAGAUAUGUGGAGGAAUACCAAUGGCGAAGGCAGCCCCCUGGGAUAACACUGACGCUCAUGCACGAAAGCGUGGGGAGCAAACAGGAUUAGAUACCCUGGUAGUCCACGCCCUAAACGAUGCUGACUAGUUGUUCGGGAUUUUAUCCUGAGUAACGUAGCUAACGCGUGAAGUCAGCCGCCUGGGGAGUACGGUCGCAAGAUUAAAACUUAAAGAUAGUGCGNGNGAGAGCGACGACGACGACGAGGAGGAGGAG
rnacentral:rRNA from 1 species